rfam:Streptomyces lydicus strain 103, complete genome.
CUUGAGGGAGCCCAGCCACAGCGGCCGGUCCCGGUCCCGCCCGUAGGCGGCCAGCAGGGCGUUGGCCUC